UCGUUACUCUACUUUGUCACAGAUUUGUUUGCUCAGAUGCUGUCUCCUUUCAAUAAUAGUUCACCAUUGGUAAACAUAGCUUGGUGUUGUUCCAUGAUAUGACAAUAGCUUCAUUGAGAGCUGAGAUUUCUCUGCUCUCCAACAAAGAAACAAUUUUUAAGAUGGAUAAAGUUCUAUAAACAAUGAAACUCUCAAAGAUUCCCCAUCUGCUAACUAAGAUGAAACUUAACAUAUCACAGUGAAAGAAACAUCAAAUUCUCACAUUCCUUCACCAUGUAAUUAAAUUGCCUUAUCAACUCACAAGGUUUUAUCUAUCUCCAAUAUCUCAAGAAACGGUGCUUUAGACGCCAAUAAGAGAGGGUGGCAAUAUCCAAGUUUUGUAUGUUAAAAAAUAUGUGCCUUAUCUGAGUCUUUUGCAUGUAUUAGAACAAAUCUUAAUAGCAAAAAGGGUGAUGGAAUACACAGCCUCAGAAGCAAUAAAGAGAGGGCUGCACAGAAUUGUUGUUUAAAUUCUUUCAGGGGGAGUUAUUUAAGGUUUUGGGGCUCGCGAUACUUAUCUAUUGCAUUGAUUACUAAGACAUAAAGAGGCAUUUAAACAGAGAUUAAAUACCUGGGUAUGAUGGAUGGCAAGAGAGUUGGCUCAAAUGUAGGAGAUGUUGAAGUUUCAGUUAGGAAUAAGAAGGGACCUGCAGGUUGCAGUAAAAGCAAUUAGUAACCACAAAUUAGUGCAGUAAAACCUGCUUUUCCACAAUAUCUCAAUGCAUUUAGAUACUUGAUGUUUGAAGUCAGCCAGAGGGCGUUCUCUUUGUCCUACACAUUUGGACUUUUUUUUUGUUUCCAAGCCUUCCACAAGUUAAGAAUAGAAGAAACUAAUAAUAAUAAAGUUUAAAUUGAAAGAGCUUCUCAAGAAAAGGACAGCAGUGGAAUUUUUUUCUCCAAGAAACUCUAAAGGCUAUGGUUCAUACUUGUGAAAAUAAUUGCUUUACAUGUAAACAAGUAUGUUAGCAGGUACAGUUAAUGAACGGGAAACUACAGAUAUUAUGUUAUUUUAAUUACACAAAUAUUUGGAGGACAAACACAUUUAUGCCAUGUAAGUGGUUGUUAGCAAAGGAAAGAAUCUGAACAGGAACUUCUCAAUAUAUAUUGAGAAACCUAGAAUGAAAGCUGAAGCAAACACCAAUCAAGCACCUUACUGAUUCUUCCACAUGAAAUAGCCAUAUCAGAACAGCAAUUAUUCUUUGACGAAGUCGCUUAAUAUACAUAACAUGACAUCAUGACCUUACACCACUUAAAUGUUGAUUAAAUCCUAGGAGAGAAAUUAAAAAUUAUU
rnacentral:lncRNA from 1 species